GUUUCAUAUAUAAAAAUAAAAAAUAAAAAAAAAAGAAAAUCUCUCAGCCGUCUUCUCUAACGGCAACGGCACCACGAGAAAAUCUCUCCGCCGUCUUCCCUAACGGCAACGGCACCACGAACGGCACUUUCCAUUUCCGGUUCGCAGUGAUUUUUCAGAGAUUUCUUCUCCCCUCGUUUCUAAUUUCAAGUUCUUUCCGUUUACGGAUGGAUUUCAUCAAAGCGGAAGAAAAAGAGGGGUUUUUUCUUUUGAAGAUCGGAGGCCCUCUUUCCCCAAUCUCUCACAAUCCCUCUUGCCCAUUUUCCCUCGGGCAGCCGAUAGCCGAUUUCUGCUAUUUCUUCUAUUCAUCCAUCGAAGAUCCACCCCACCUCACAGAGAUUGAGGUGGUUUACUUUCACAUUUGCUGAGAAAAUGGAGGGAGAUUCAAGGGAAGGAGAGUCCUGCCAGCAGUUUCUUGAUCUGAUUCCUAAUAAAAGGGAUUGGUUGGUAAGGGAUAGAGGAUCCUUUCAAGUUACAGAAGAGAAAAAGCUGGAGCUGAGGAUUGGGCCACCUGGGGUCUGGAUUUCCAAAGAAAACUGUAGCAGAGAAAGACUCCUCUCUAUUGGGUAUUUUCCAAAGGCUCCCAAGAACAGCAAUCCUUCUGUUGAACCAGAGGUGGAUUAUUGUUGAAAUGUCCACAGUUGGUUUCAAUUGCACUAUCUACUUAUUUGGUGUCAAUGUGUAGUAUCUGAA